AGAGUUUGAUCACGGCUCACGACGAACGCUGGCGGCGUGCUUAACACAUGCCAGUCGAACGGUGAAGCCCUUCGGGGUGGAUCAGUGGCGAACGGGUGAGUAACACGUGAGUAACCUGUCCCUGACUUUGGGAUAAGCCUGGGAAACUGGGUCUAAUACCGGAUAUGACCAGCCUCUGCAUGGUGUGCUGGUGGAAAGUUUUUCGGUUGGGGGUGGGCUCGCGGCCUAUCAGCUUGUUGGUGGGGUGAUGGCCUACCAAGGCGACGACGGGUAGCCGGCCUGAGAGGGCGACCGGCCACACUGGGACUGAGACACGGCCCAUACUCCUACGGGAGGCAGCAGUGGGGAAUCUUGCGCAAUGGGCGGAAGCCUGACGCAGCGACGCCGCGUGGGGGAUGACGGCCUUCGGGUUGUAAACCUCUUUCACCAUUGGCGAAGGCCAGCAUUUUGUGUUGGUUGACGGUAGGUGGGGAAGAAGCGCCGGCUAACUACGUGCCAGCAGCCGCGGUAAUACGUAGGGCGCAAGCGUUGUCCGGAUUUAUUGGGCGUAAAGAGCUCGUAGGUGGUUUGUCGCGUCUGUCGUGAAAGCCCAUGGCUUAACUGUGGGUUUGCGGUGGAUACGGGCUGACUAGAGGCAGGUAGGGGAGAGUGGAAUUCCCGGUGUAGCGGUGAAAUGCGCAGAUAUCGGGAGGAACACCGGUGGCGAAGGCGGCUCUCUGGGCCUGUCCUGACGCUGAGGAGCGAAAGCGUGGGUAGCGAACAGGAUUAGAUACCCUGGUAGUCCACGCCGUAAACGUUGGGCGCUAGGUGUGGGGGCUUUCCAAGGUUUCCGUGCCGCAGCUAACGCAUUAAGCGCCCCGCCUGGGGAGUACGGCCGCAAGGCUAAAACUCAAAGGAAUUGACGGGGGCCCGCACAAGCGGCGGAGCAUGUUGCUUAAUUCGACGCAACGCGAAGAACCUUACCAGGGUUUGACAUGCACGGUUUAGCCAUGGAGACAUGGUGUCCUUCGGGGCCGUGUGCAGGUGGUGCAUGGCUGUCGUCAGCUCGUGUCGUGAGAUGUUGGGUUAAGUCCCGCAACGAGCGCAACCCUUGCCCUAUGUUGCCAGCACGUUAUGGUGGGAACUCAUGGGGGACUGCCGGGGUCAACUCGGAGGAAGGUGGGGAUGACGUCAAGUCAUCAUGCCCCUUAUGUCCUGGGCUGCAAACAUGCUACAAUGGCCGGUACAGCGGGCUGCGAUACCGUGAGGUGGAGCGAAUCCCGAAAAGCCGGUCUCAGUUCGGAUCGGAGUCUGCAACUCGACUUCGUGAAGUUGGAGUCGCUAGUAAUCGCGAAUCAGCAAUGUCGCGGUGAAUACGUUCCCGGGCCUUGUACACACCGCCCGUCACGUCAUGAAAGUCGGCAACACCCGAAGCCCAUGGCCCAACCCGUGUGGGGGGAGUGGUCGAAGGUGGGGCUGGCGAUUGGGAGGAAGUCGUAACAAGGUAGCCG
rnacentral:rRNA from 1 species